ACGGUAACAGGAGGAAGCUUGCUUCCUUGCUGACGAGUGGCGGACGGGUGAGUAAAGCUUGGGAAUCUGUCUUAGGGAGGGGGAUAACCACGGGAAACUGUGGCUAAUACCGCGUAUAAUCGAGAGAUGAGAGGUGUGGGAUCGUAAGGCCACAUGCCCUGAGGUGAGCCCAAGUGAGAUUAGGUAGUUGGUGGGGUAAAGGCCUACCAAGCCGACGAUCUCUAGCUGGUCUGAGAGGAUGACCAGCCACACUGGGACUGAGACACGGCCCAGACUCCUACGGGAGGCAGCAGUGGGGAAUAUUGCGCAAUGGGGGCAACCCUGACGCAGCCACGCCGCGUGAAUGAAGAAGGCCUUCGGGUUGUAAAGUUCUUUCAGUGGUGAGGAAGGUAAUAAUGUUAAUAGUAUUAUUAAUUGACGUUAGCCACAGAAGAAGCACCGGCUAAUUCCGUGCCAGCAGCCGCGGUAAUACGGAAGGUGCGAGCGUUAAUCGGAAUAACUGGGCGUAAAGGGCACGCAGGCGGUAACUUAAGUGAGGUGUGAAAGCCCAGGGCUUAACCUUGGAAGUGCACUUCAUACUGGGUUACUAGAGUACUCUAGGGAGGGGUAGAAUUCCACGUGUAGCGGUGAAAUGCGUAGAGAUGUGGAGGA
rnacentral:rRNA from 1 species